UCCUACGGGACGCAGCAGUGAGGAAUAUUGGUCAAUGGGCGGGAGCCUGAACCAGCCAAGUCGCGUGAAGGAAGAAGGUACUUAGUAUUGUAAACUUCUUUUGUCAGGGAGCAACGCCGGCUACGUGUAGCCGGACUGAGAGUACCUGAAGAAAAAGCAUCGGCUAACUCCGUGCCAGCAGCCGCGGUAAUACGGAGGAUGCGAGCGUUAUCCGGAUUUAUUGGGUUUAAAGGGUGCGUAGGCGGAAUGCCAAUUCAGCGGUAAAAUCGCGGGGCUCAACCUCGCUCCGCCGUUGAAACUGGCGG
rnacentral:rRNA from 1 species